ACGAACGCUGGCGGCGUGCUUAACACAUGCAAGCCGCACGGAAAGGCCCUGCUUUUGUGGGGUGCUCGAGUGGCGAACGGGUGAGUAACACGUGAGUAACCUGCCCUUGACUUUGGGAUAACUUCAGGAAACUGGGGCUAAUACCGGAUAGGAGCUCCUGCUGCAUGGUGGGGGUUGGAAAGUUUCGGCGGUUGGGGAUGGACUCGCGGCUUAUCAGCUUGUUGGUGGGGUAGUGGCUUACCAAGGCUUUGACGGGUAGCCGGCCUGAGAGGGUGACCGGCCACAUUGGGACUGAGAUACGGCCCAGACUCCUACGGGAGGCAGCAGUGGGGAAUAUUGCACAAUGGGCGGAAGCCUGAUGCAGCAACGCCGCGUGCGGGAUGACGGCCUUCGGGUUGUAAACCGCUUUCGCCUGUGACGAAGCGUGAGUGACGGUAAUGGGUAAAGAAGCACCGGCUAACUACGUG
rnacentral:rRNA from 1 species